rnacentral:tmRNA from 1 species
UUAGUUGACUUUUCCUUAAAAUAUGCUAUAAUAAAAGGGUCUUUGAUUUAUCAGGGACUAUGAUACUAGAUGGCAAAUGGAAUAGGUGUAGUGGACUCGGGGGCAGUACCCGACGCCUCCACCAAAUGGGGGCGAAACAGCGUUGACACGCAUAGUAAAGAUUUCGCCGGGUAUCCGGCAUGGUAGCACCGUUAUCGCGCUAAAAAAAAUAGAUGCAAAUGAUAAUUUUGCACCAGUCGCAAUGGCUGCCUAAUUUAGGUAUCUGAUGUGACGAAUGAUUCUAAGGCUAUUUGUACGCUUUAGUGGGGUUCAAGGGCUUUCCUAGCAACAGAAAAGCCCCUUU